AAUUAAUACAUUUUGAAAUUAUUAUUAAGUUAAAAUAAAUAUAAAGAUGAUAACUUUUAAGAAACAAAGAGAUAAAUUAUUUAGGAUCUGGGAGACUGGGACAAAGGCUUUUUUUUUGACAACACCUUAAGGAAAGGCAAUGCACGGCCCUGACGAGGAGAAAAAGGAUGAACGAGAGUGAGAUAUCUAACAGGCUUUUUCAUUGUGAUUCUUGAGUGACUUGAAUCUAAGGAAAACACGUUAUGGGUAUAAGGGUAUUUUUUAAUUUCUACAAGGAACAACAAAAUAAAAAUGUAUAAAUCUUUUAGAGCAAAUCUCCGAAAUAGCACCUUUAUAAGUUUAUGUCACAAAAAUAGCUCUCAAAAACUAAAAUGUUCAAAAUAACAUUUUAUCUUUUGAAAAAUUUAUUUUUUUUUUAUUUUUCAAAAUUUGAAAUCUUAUCCCAAAACCCCACUCCCCAACUCUAAACCCUAAACCCUAAACCCUAAAUCCUAAACCCUAAACCCUAAACCCUAAAUCCUAAACCCCACCCCUUAACUAUAAACCCUAAACCUUAAACCCCACCUUAAACUCUAAAUACAAAACCCUAAACCCUAAACACUAAAUCCUAAACCCCACCCCUUAACUCUAAACCAUAAUGUCUAAAUUAAUUUACUAUUGAGGUAUAAGUGUAUAUUUAUCUCUUUUGAUAAAACAUUAAGUGAUAUUUUGGUCAUUUUUAUUCUUAGAGGCUAUAUUUGUGACAAAAACUUUUUUAGU
rnacentral:lncRNA from 1 species